rnacentral:rRNA from 1 species
GUCGAGCGGUAAGGCCUUUCGGGGUACACGAGCGGCGAACGGGUGAGUAACACGUGGGUGAUCUGCCCUGCACUUCGGGAUAAGCCUGGGAAACUGGGUCUAAUACCGGAUAUGACCUCCUAUCGCAUGRUGGGUGGUGGAAAGAUUUAUCGGUGCAGGAUGGGCCCGCGGCCUAUCAGCUUGUUGGUGGGGUAAUGGCCUACCAAGGCGACGACGGGUAGCCGACCUGAGAGGGUGACCGGCCACACUGGGACUGAGACACGGCCCAGACUCCUACGGGAGGCAGCAGUGGGGAAUAUUGCACAAUGGGCGAAAGCCUGAUGCAGCGACGCCGCGUGAGGGAUGACGGCCUUCGGGUUGUAAACCUCUUUCAGCAGGGACGAAGCGCAAGUGACGGUACCUGCAGAAGAAGCACCG